CCUACGGGAGGCAGCAGUGGGGAAUAUUGCACAAUGGAGGAANCUCUGAUGCAGCAACGCCCGUGGAGGAUGACACAUUUCGGUGCGUAAACUCCUUUUAUUUGGGAAGAUAAUGACGGUACCUUAUGAAUAAGCACCGGCUAACUCCGUGCCAGCAGCCGCGGUAAUA
rnacentral:rRNA from 1 species